AACGAACGCUGGCGGCAGGCUUAACACAUGCAAGUCGAACGCAUCCUUCGGGGUGAGUGGCAGACGGGUGAGUAACGCGUGGGAACGUGCCCUUCAGUUCGGGAUAACCCAGGGAAACUUGGGCUAAUACCGGAUACGUGCGAGAGCAGAAAGAUUUAUCGCUGAAGGAUCGGCCCGCGUCUGAUUAGCUAGUCGGUGGGGUAAUGGCCCACCAAGGCGACGAUCAGUAGCUGGUCUGAGAGGAUGAUCAGCCACAUUGGGACUGAGACACGGCCCAAACUCCUACGGGAGGCAGCAGUGGGGAAUAUUGGACAAUGGGCGCAAGCCUGAUCCAGCCAUGCCGCGUGAGUGAUGAAGGCCUUAGGGUUGUAAAGCUCUUUCGUCCGGGACGAUAAUGACGGUACCGGAAGAAGAAGCCCCGGCUAACUUCGUGCCAGCCGCCGCAGUAAGAC
rnacentral:rRNA from 1 species